GAUGAACGCUGGCGGCGUGCCUAAUACAUGCCAGUCGAACGGACAGGCCAUGAUCUUGCGUCGCGGAUGUUAGGCGCACGGGUGUGUGUAACACGUGUAUAACCUCCCUGUAUUACUGGUAUCACUUCGAAAAUCGGGAUCUAAUCCGAUAUGAGCUUUUGAACCGCAGUGGGCAAAGGUAAAAUUCGGUCUUUCGGGCACGUAUAGAUGGAUCCUCGCUGCAUGAGCUAGUUGGUGAGGUAACGGCUUACCAAGGCAACGAGGCAUGGCCGACCUGAGGGGGUGAUCGGCCACACUGGAACUGAGACAGGGUCAAGGCUCCUAAGGGACGCAGCAGUAGGGAAUCGUACGCAAUGGGGGAAAGCAUGACGGAGUAACGCCGAGCGAGUGAUGACGGCCCCGGGAUCGUAAAAAUCUGUUAUUAGGGAUGAACAGAUGUGUACGUAACCGAGGAGAUAUUGACGGUAAUUAAUAAGAAAGCACCGGCUAACUACGUG
rnacentral:rRNA from 1 species